rnacentral:rRNA from 2 species
UACGUAGGGGGCAAGCGUUGUCCGGAAUUAUUGGGCGUAAAGGGUGCGUAGGCGGCCUUUUAAGUCAGAUGUGAAAGGUCACGGCUCAACCGUGGUAAGCAUUUGAAACUGGAAGGCUUGAGUUAAGGAGAGGAAAGUGGAAUUCCUAGUGUAGCGGUGAAAUGCGUAGAUAUUAGGAGGAAUACCAGUGGCGAAGGCGACUUUCUGGCCUUUAACUGACGCUGAGGCACGAAAGCGUGGGGAGCAAACAGG